rnacentral:rRNA from 1 species
UACGGGAGGCAGCAGUGGGGAAUAUUGCACAAUGGGCGCAAGCCUGAUGCAGCCAUGCCGCGUGUAUGAAGAAGGCCUUCGGGUUGUAAAGUACUUUCAGUCGUGAGGAAGGUGUUAAGGUUAAUAACCUUAGCAAUUGACGUUAGCGACAGAAGAAGCACCGGCUAACUCCGUGCCAGCAGCCGCGGUAAUACGGAGGGUGCGAGCGUUAAUCGGAAUUACUGGGCGUAAAGGGCACGCAGGCGGUUAAUUAAGUUGGAUGUGAAAUCCCCGGGCUUAACCUGGGAAUGGCAUUCAAGACUGGUUAGCUAGAGUCUUGUAGAGGGGGUAGAAUUCCAUGUGUAGCGGUGAAAUGCGUAGAGAUGUGGAGGAAUACCGGGUGGCGAAGGCGGCCCCUGGGACAAAGGACUGACGCUCGAUGUGCGAAAGCGUGGGGAGCGAAACAGGGAUUAGAU